rnacentral:rRNA from 1 species
UGGGGAAUAUUGCACAAUGGGCGCAAGCCUGAUGCAGCCAUGCCGCGUGUGUGAAGAAGGCCUUCGGUUGUAAAGCACUUUCAGCGAGGAGGAAGGUGGUGAGCUUAAUACGCUCAUCAAUUGACGUUACUCGCAGAAGAAGCACCGGCUAACUCCGUGCCAGCAGCCGCGGUAAUACGGAGGGUGCAAGCGUUAAUCGGAAUUACUGGGCGUAAAGCGCACGCAGGCGGUUUGUUAAGUCAGAUGUGAAAUCCCCGGGGCUCAACCUGGGAACUGCAUUUGAAACUGGCAAGCUAGAGUCUCGUAGAGGGGGGCUAGAAUUCCAGGUGUAGCGGUGAAAUGCGUAGAGAUCUGGAGGAAUACCGGUGGCGAAGGCGGCCCCCUGGACGAAGACUGACGCUCAGGUGCGAAAGGCGUGGGGAGCAAACAGAUUAGAUACCCUGGUAGUCCACGCUGUAAACG